ACUGGCGGCGUGCUUCUACAUGCAAGUCAGGCGGAAAGGCCCCUUUGGGGUACUCGAGCGGCGAACGGGUGACCCACACGUGAGUAACCUGCCCCUGGCUUUGGGACAACCCUCGGAAACGGGGGCUAAUACCGGAUAUGACCUGCUGCCGCAUGGUGGUGGGUGGAAAGAUUUUUUGGCUGGGGAUGGGCUCGCGGCCUAUCAGCUUGUUGGUGGGGUGAUGGCCUACCAAGGCGACGACGGGUAGCCGGCCUGAGAGGGCGACCGGCCACACUGGGACUGAGACACGGCCCACACUCCUACGGGAGGCAGCAGUGGG
rnacentral:rRNA from 1 species